rnacentral:rRNA from 1 species
UACGUAGGCAGCAAGCGUUGUUCGGAGUUACUGGGCGUAAAGGGCGUGUAGGCGGUUCUUUAAGUUUGGUGUGAAAUCUCCCGGCUCAACCGGGAGGGUGCGCCGAAUACUGAGGGACUAGAGUGCGGGAGAGGAAAGUGGAAUUCCUGGUGUAGCGGUGAAAUGCGUAGAUAUCAGGAGGAACACCGGUGGUGUAGACGGCUUUCUGGACCGUAACUGACGCUGAAACCCGAAAGCGUGGGUAGCAAACAGG